ACGCUGGCGGCGUGCUUCAUACAUGCAAGUCGAACGAGAAUCUAGCUUCGGUUAGAGGAAAGUGGCGGACGGGUGAGUAAAAUGUAGGAAAUCUGCCCUAGAGAGGGGGGACAACAGAGGGAAACUUCUGCUAAUACCCCAUAUGAGCGUACCUGAAAUGGUAUUCUUGAAAACUCCGGUGCCCAAAUGGGAUUAGCUAGUAGGUGAGGUAAAGGCUCACCUAGGCGACGAUCUCUAGCUGGUCUGAGUUUUAGGAUGAUCAGCCACAUUGGGACUGAGACACGGCCCAGACUCCUACGGGAGGCAGCAGUAGGGAAUAUUGCACAAUGGAGGAAACUCUGAUGCAGCCAUGCCGCGUGUGUGAAGAAGGCCUUCGGGUUGUAAAGCACUUUCAGAGGGGAGGAGAAUGACGUUACCCUCAGAAGAAGCACCGGCUAACUCCGUG
rnacentral:rRNA from 1 species